UGGAGAUUAGCUAAAAUUGUAGAGCGCUCGCUUAGCAUGCGAGAGGUAGCGAGAUCGAUCCCUGCAUCCUCUA
rnacentral:tRNA from 1 species